rnacentral:sRNA from 1 species
GAUGAGUGGCUGCGUUGUCGUUGACGUC